UUGUAUUUUAAGUGAUGUCAUAGACAGGAUUGUUUAAAUUUAGUUAACUUUCCAUGCUCUUCAGACUGUGAUAUUGUGUAAAUGUCUAUUCUGCUCUGGUUUGUGUGAACUGGGAUGUUGGGGGUGUUUGUGGUUACCUUACCUGGGGAAGUUCUUAUGUUUAUCUUGCCUUUUCAUGUGUCUUUCUGUAGACAUAUCUGAAGAGAUGGAUUAAGAAUGCUUUGGAUUAAGGAUUGUGGAGCACAUUUCAAUCAUUUUAGGAUUGUCAAAAGGAGGAUUGAGGAGGAUCAGAUCAAUAAUGGAGGCAAUGGUAUGACUCCAAGUGCUAUUGUCACAGAUGAAAUUGGCAGUAUUGACCUUAUACUAAAAGACAAGGAUUAAAAAUGAUUAUAUACAUCAACCUUAAAACAGUUGCAAACAUUUUAUGCAGUUACCUUUAGCUACAAUUGCUUUGCUUUUUAUAUUUGGCAAUUGUGGCAAAAUUACAUUGCCCAUUUUGUAACAAAUUUAUUUUGCUCCUUUCCCCCUUUUUUUGUUUUAAUAGGGACUAAUGUGGGAAGAACUGGCUAAUUUGUCAUAGUGCUUAGUUACAACUGUUAAUGUGUGACCUGCUGUUGGUGUACAUGUGGGUACAGGAUGUCUUUAAUUCCAACCAGAUAGAGUAUAAUAUCAAUACUGCUAAAUUUGCAUGUCCUCUGUGUGACUGAUAUAGCGUUGCUAUUUCAUUUUUUUUUUUUUUUAAGACAAAAUGAAAGCAAAAUAUAGAAUUCCAGCAUAUUGGUGUAGAUAAUCUAGAUGGGAAUACUUUGUCUCACCUUUCCCUUUAAACUAAUAUUCAUAAUUGAUUCGUGUUAAAACACUUUAAUUUACAAAUUGCAGACGAGAGCAUUAUUUAGUUUAGACUUAGGUGGGUUUAGCAAUACCAGUAAACUUUUCAACUACAUAACUCUUUUUGCAACCACAAAACCUGUAAUACGCUGUACAGUAACAAGUGUUGGCAUUAUCAGUUGAACUGUAAAUAUAAAAUGCUUCUUCCAAUUAGUCUCUAUAAUGAUUAAGUUUCUAAAGUUUAUCUGAACACCAUUCAGAAACUUGUUUUGGGGAAUUUGAUAGUUAUUGAUGUACAUCUGUUAAACUGAUGACAGACAUAACUCAUCAUUCCCCAGAAACCUUUUUUGAUUACAGUAUCUAACAUUUUGCCUCCUCUUUUUUGGUUUUGCUGGUUAUAAAGGUUUGGAUUGGAGAGGGCUCACUGGAUCCCAAUCCUUGGAGCUGGAUCAUUGGAUUCAAAUCAUAAUGUGGAUAGGAUAGGGAGGAUGAAUUACAAGGAUUCAUGGAGCGGGAUCAGAUUACCAGGAACAUAGGAGUGGAUUCCUGCCCCAACCAAACCGCAUUCGUGUGGAUUUUUUUGUUUUUUGUUUUUGUUUUUAUUCAACUUAAUUGGCUAUUCCAAAGAAUUUUUUUUUUCCUAUUUUUGACGAUUGGAGCCCUUAAGAUGCACGAUGGAAUUGUGUUUUGCAAUUUUUGGUAAAAGGAGCAAAGCGAGGACCUGGAGAUAAUACGCUGGAGCAAUCUCCUUGGAAGGAUUCAGCACGAGUAGAUGGUAAACAUUUAAAGGGGAAAAGGGGGGGUUUGUUUAAAAUAGUAAAUCAGUAAGUCACUUCUAAAUUUAAAGAAAACAAAAUUGGAGUUGAAGAAUAAGUAGGUUUCCAAUUGGCUAUUGCCAUUUUUCUUUGAAAAAAUAAACAUUUUUUUAAAAACUAUGCAUGGUUGUCCUUUUUCCUCUUCAUGUAAGUUGAUUUUAACUGGGUGACUAGUGUUAUCAGUUAAUACCUUAAAUUGAUAAGUAAGGUAAGGUCUGACCCCAUUUAUGUGUCAGUAAAUUAAAAGUUCUUGAAAGGCAAUCUCUAAUAAAUGGUAUCAGCCACCUUUUACUGUCAAUUGUUAAAGUCUUAAGGGAAAAAUAAGAAGAGGUGGGAGUAAGUUAUUUAAUGUGGUAAAUGAGAGGGUGGUCUUUAGAAGAUAAACUUCCAUUACUGUGAUAGAAGUGAUUAAAGGCUUAGAGAUACUACUUAUUUUGGGUGAUCAUCUAGACAGUAUAGGCAUUUGUGCAAAAUUGGGUGGUGACUAGUAAGUCAGUGUUCGCUUGGGGAUAGCAUUUGAGAUUCUCAGUGAAACUUAUGUCAAAAAUUGGUAAGUAUUAAAUGUUAAUUCAGCAUAGAUCUAUUUGAACAAUUACCACAAAUCACAUUUACCUUGUGAAAUGUGAGUGAUAUACUAGAGUGAAUCAUUAAUAAAAAGCUGGGGCCAUUCUUCAGAGUUUUGUCUUGUAAAUCCUUCUGAAGCAUAAGGUAAUUCUGCACCCAAAACAUACCAAAGCAGUGGUUAUAUCUUGGGGUUUGUUUUUGUGCCUAUACUGGACAGCCCCUUGAUGCUAAAUUUUUUAAUUGUUUAGGGUAUGGGAUGAGAGUUUUACUUAAAAUUCCUAAUGUCUUUUUUUCUCAUACUUGGAUUGGUAGUCACAACUAUCAAACCACUUUUCUGCAACCCAAGAGGAAUCACUGGCUUUCAGCAUUUCCCUUGGGCGCUUAAUCAUAGUUGCAUGCUGAAUUUAAGAUUGUUCAGGCGACAGUUUGAAACCUAGGUAAACCAAAAUUAAUCUUGAAAAUGGGCCCCAAGAAAAAUUUGCAUGAAGUCACUCAACCAAUAUAUUUAAAUGAACCUUGUGGAAUGUCAGGUGGAAGAGAAGGUUCCACACACUGAUAAAUAGGUCUUUUUCUAGUACUGAUUUAAGAAGAUAGGCCAAGAAACGAAGAUUUACUAUUUAAAGCUAAAUUUCUGAAGAAUUGAGAAUUUUACAUGAUAUGCUUAAGUUUUUUUCAAGUGGCUGAAAGAAAAAUGGGAAAGUUAAUAUGACCUAGACAUGUUAUUUGUGUUCAUUGAAUGUUCUAGAAACAACUAAAAUGGAAAUGACCUUCAUUCAAGGUUGAGUGUGUGUAAGCUAAAUUGAAAGAUGCACUCAUACAAAGAGUUUUGGUAGUUCAAGCCCCAAGGUAAAAUAGGAAGGAAGUAGUCCUUGCCUGGUUCACAGGCUGUUUGAAGAUUAGAGAGAACUUAGUGCGUCUGAGGAAACGUAGAGGAACGUAGGUUGUGCCCAGAAGGUGACGAGGCUGCUGCUCUUCUAGUCGGUUAGGAAAGGAGCCAUAGACUGUCCAUGUUGGGAGCUAUUAGAGGAGAGUCGUGCGCUUUGGGGACUACAAAGGCUGGCUACAAAAGUUUUCCCACUUUUCCGCGUAUUGAUGUUCCUGUAGAAUAUUUUAGGGAGCCUGUGAUUAGUUUGUUAUUUUCUAACCAAGGAGAAAUUUAAAUCUUUUUAAGAAGCAAUUAUUUUUCAUAACAUCAGAUUGAAUAACCCAUCUUGCUGUUCAGCCCACAUCCUGGAAACAAAAGGCUGGAGGUUCCCUGUGUUACCUGCUUUUGCUACUGAUCCAAAUUGCAGAACUUCUCAUUCAUCCUCAAGGCCUCCAGGCAGUAUCCAGUGGGGAAUCAUCCCUAAAAGGAACCAGACCAGCAUUUUCCAGCCUCUUCAUUCCUGCCACUUCUAUGUGAGGAAAGGAUAGAAAGCAUUCAGGACCUCAUCAUACAGGCUCAUCUACAAAGUUCCAGUAGCAGUGACGCCUACACGGAAGACUUGGAACCGCAAACUGAGGUUGGGGCCACCUCAGUGACAUUCCCUGAUACAAGUUCGAUUUUUGUUUUGAGGGAUGAAGAAGGAAGCAGAUUGUACUAUACUAAAGGACUAAAAUAAUUUCCUUGCUUA